GACGAACGCUGGCGGCGUGCUUAACACAUGCAAGUCGAGCGAGGCCCCUCCUUCGGGAGGGUGUCCUAGCGGCGAACGGGUGAGUAACACGUGGGCAACCUGCCCUCAGCUCUGGGAUAACUCCGGGAAACCGGGGCUAAUACCGGAUACGACCUCCACUGGCACCUGCGGAGGCGGAAAGUUUUUCGGCUGGGGAUGGGCCCGCGGCCUAUCAGCUAGUUGGUGGGGUAGUGGCCCACCAAGGCGACGACGGGUAGCCGGCCUGAGAGGGCGACCGGCCACACUGGGACUGAGAGACGGCCCAGACGCCUACGGGAGGCAGCAGUGGGGAAUAUUGCGCAAUGGGCGAAAGCCUGACGCAGCGACGCCGCGUGAGGGACGAAGGCCUUCGGGUUGUAAACCUCUUUCAGCAGGGACGAAGCGAAAGUGACGGUACCUGCAGAAGAAGCACCGGCCAACUACGUG
rnacentral:rRNA from 1 species